GUGAGUUGAUGAUUGUUUGAAAUUGGACAAACAGCCAUUUUGUGGAUCCUAAGGAAUGGUACAUAUGAUGAGGUUGGUCAAUUAUUACUUAGAAUGAUGGAGCUUUUCUCAAGUUUGAUGAUCUAUUCACAUCUAUCUUCGGUUGGGUUGGUGUAUGGGCAGUGUCCUUGAUCAUCUUGAGGACCGGUGAAAAAUUGCGGAGUGCGUGCUUUGUUUGAAAUUGGAUAAGCUUCCACAUCUUGGAUUUUGG
rnacentral:lncRNA from 1 species